UACGUAGGGGGCUAGCGUUGUCCGGAAUCAUUGGGCGUAAAGCGCGUGUAGGCGGCUCGGUAAGUCCGCUCUGAAAGCCCGGGGCUCAACCCCGGGAGGCGGGUGGAUACUGCUGAGCUCGAGUCCGGAAGAGGAGUGUGGAAUUCCUGGUGUAGCGGUGAAAUGCGCAGAUAUCAGGAGGAACACCAAUGGCGAAGGCAGCACUCUGGGACGGAACUGACGCUGAGACGCGAAAGCGUGGGGAGCAAACAGG
rnacentral:rRNA from 1 species